GAUGAAGAACGCAGCGAAAUGCGAUAAGUAAUGUGAAUUGCAGAAUUCAGUGAAUCAUCGAAUCUUUGAACGCACAUUGCGCCCCUUGGUAUUCCGAGGGGCAUGCCUGUUCGAGCGUCAUUUCAACCCUCAAGCUCAGCUUGGUAUUGGGCCCCGCCGACCCGGCGGGCCCUAAAGUCAGUGGCGGUGCCGUCCGGCUCCGAGCGUAGUAAUUCUUCUCGCUCUGGAGGUCCGGUCGUGUGCUCGCCAGCAACCCCCAAUUUUUUUCAGGUUGACCUCGGAUCAGGUAGGGAUACCCGCUGAACUUAAGCAUAUCAAUAAGCGGAGGA
rnacentral:misc_RNA from 1 species